rnacentral:rRNA from 1 species
GACGAACGCUGGCGGCGUGCCUAAUACAUGCAAGUCGAACGAGAGCGACCGGUGCUUGCACUGGUCAAUCUAGUGGCGAACGGGUGAGUAACACGUGGGUAACCUGCCCAUCAGAGGGGGAUAACAUUCGGAAACGGAUGCUAAAACCGCAUAGCUCUUCGAACCGCAUGGUUUGAAGAGGAAAAGAGGCGCAAGCUUCUGCUGAUGGAUGGACCCGCGGUGCAUUAGCUAGUUGGUGAGGUAACGGCUCACCAAGGCCGUGAUGCAUAGCCGACCUGAGAGGGUGAUCGGCCACAUUGGGACUGAGACACGGCCCAAACUCCUACGGGAGGCAGCAGUAGGGAAUCUUCCGCAAUGGACGCAAGUCUGACGGAGCAACGCCGCGUGAGUGAAGAAGGUUUUCGGAUCGUAAAACUCUGUUGUUAGAGAAGAACAAGUGCUAGAGUAACUGUUAGCGCCUUGACGGUAUCUAACCAGAAAGCCACGGCUAACUACGUG